CAAUAGCGUAUAUUAAAGUUGUUGCAGUUAAAAAGCUCGUAGUUGGAUUUCGGGGCAGCCUGGCUGGUCCGCCGCAAGGCGAGUACUGGUCAGCCGCCCUUCCUCUCGAAAGCCCCGACUGCUCUUCGUUGCAGUGGUCGGGUAGUUCGGGACGUUUACUUUGAAAAAAUUAGAGUGUUCAAGGCAGGCCUACGCCUGAAUACAUUAGCAUGGAAUAAUGGAAGAGGACCUCGGUCCUAUUUUGUUGGUUUCCAAGGCCGAAGUAAUGAUUAAGAGGGACAGUUGGGGGCAUUCGUAUUUAAUUGUCAGAGGUGAAAUUCUCGGAUUUAUGAAAGACGAACAACUGCGAAAGCAUUUGCCAAGGAUGUUUUCAUUAA
rnacentral:rRNA from 1 species